UACGUAGGGUGCAAGCGUUAAUCGGAAUUACUGGGCGUAAAGCGUGCGCAGGCGGUUAUUUAAGACAGGUGUGAAAUGCCCGGGCUUAACCUGGGAACUGCAUUUGUGACUGCAUGGCUAGAGUUUGGCAGAGGGGGGUAGAAUUCCACGUGUAGCAGUGAAAUGCGUAGAUAUGUGGAGGAAGACCGGUGGCGAAGGCGGCCUGCUGGGCAGUUACUGACACUGAUGCGCGACAGCGUGGGGAGCAAACAGG
rnacentral:rRNA from 1 species